rnacentral:rRNA from 1 species
GAUGAACGCUGGCGGCGUGCCUAAUACAUGCAAGUCGAGCGAACGGACGAGAAGCUUGCUUUUCUGAUGUUAGCGGCGGACGGGUGAGUAACACGCGGAUAACCUACCUAUAAGACUGGGAUAACUUCGGGAAACCGGAGCUAAUACCGGAUAAUAUUUUGAACCGCAUGGUUCAUAAGUGAAAGACGGUCUUGCUGUCACUUAUAGAUGGAUCCGCGCUGCAUUAGCUAGUUGGUAAGGUAACGGCUUACCAAGGCAACGAUGCAUAGCCGACCUGAGAGGGUGAUCGGCCACACUGGAACUGAGACACGGUCCAGACUCCUACGGGAGGCAGCAGUAGGGAAUCUUCCGCAAUGGGCGAAAGCCUGACGGAGCAACGCCGCGUGAGUGAUGAAGGUCUUCGGAUCGUAAAACUCUGUUAUUAGGGAAGAACAUAUGUGUAAGUAACUGUGCACAUCUUGACGGUACCUAAUCAGAAAGCCACGGCUAACUACGUG